ensembl:lncRNA
CACAACGGAUGGGCGGGAUAAUUCCAGGGAGCGGAACUCAUUGGCUUCUACGGAGCUGCCGCUCUUCGCUAGAGGAACGCUGAUAGGCUUGCCCCGUGGAAAGAGGCGGGAUCUUUGGGGCCUACCGGUGCUCCUUCUAAAACUAAGCAACUGCCUUUUUCUCCUCCUUUAGUUGAUAAGCGACCAGUAUGACCUUGGCAAGAUGAGCCACUUGAAUCAGGCCAGCCAGGUGGGAUGUGAGAGUACCAUAGGGGUUCUGAAAGGUACCGCUGCCCAGUAACCCAAGAUCCAUAGUAGCUUUUUCUGAAAGUGUUUUUGUUGGGGCGAGGAACCCUCAGCCACCAAGAAAUUUUCACUCAGUCACUUUUGUGGGAGCCCCUAUGUGUGCCGGAACAAAUACCAAAGAAAAUGGAAUAGAAAGCUACAGAAGUAUCCACCUGAAGCUUUGUGAGGAAAUGCCCACAGGGGAUCAUGGGCUGAGUCAAACGUUAACUGACCACCUGCUAUGUGCCACUCACGUUCUAGAUUUUAAUCUCAUUUUACCUUUACCUGAACAACCCUUCAGGGAAAGGCGUGAUUAGCAUUUUAGAUUUUAGAAAAUGUGAGAGGUUGUCACAAAAUUAAGGAAUGCAAGUUCCCUUCCUAUGACCUUGAUAAUGGGUACUGUUUGGGAAGUCCCACCUUCAUGGACUCAAACUGUUCCUCUCAAAUAGAGGGAGCAUUACAGAGAAAAGAAGGCCUGAGUUUUGCCAAGCCCCCAGCUGAAGAAUAAGAACGCAAUUCUAGUGGCCUAGAUCGUGUCCCAUUACUAUCUGAGCAAGAGUUGGGGCCAGAAUAUACAACUGAGUUCUCUACUCUUGAAAUUUCUGCAGGCUCCAUGCCCUAUGCAGGAUCCCCCACCAGGGUUGGAACACAUGUCUUGUGCAUUGGGAGUGUGGAGUCUUAACUACCGCACCACCAGGGAAGUCCCAGGAUUUAUCAUCUUUCUAAGAAGAGGAAGGGAAUAGUUGUUUUUCUCUUCUCCACAAGAGGACUCAGCAAGAAGAUGGCUAACUAUCUGCAAACCAGUUAAGAAGGCUCUCUCUUGACCCUGAAUCUGCUAGCACCUUGGUCUUGGAUUUAUCAGUCUCCAAAUCUUUGAGAAAUAAAUAUUUAUUAUUUACACUAUCACACUAUCUGAUCUGUGGUAUUGUGUUAGACCAAUCCGAUUUAAGACAGGCUAUAAACCUCCUUCCUUAUCUCUGGUGGAAUUUGGACCAGUUCCUAGAAAUAGACCAGCAACUUUGGAAUUGCCCUCUUGUCUAGGGUGCUAG